UUUUUUUUUUUUGAAUGAUUUAUUCCCACAUGUAUUUAAUUUUAGAUUUAUUUAUUUAUUGAUUCAUUUAUUUUUACUUUUCCGUGUGUAACAUGGAAAUGAGGAAGGUGGUCCUUGUGUAGCGUCAGUGCAUCAUUGGUUGAGAGCUCUCGCGUAGAAUCUCAGGCCAGCUAAGUGAUAGAGAUGAGAGUUUUCAAAGAAAAUGGCGGCAAGCAGUAAUUCGUUGUCCAGUUUGCUACGGGAUGUGGCAGAUCAGCUGGAGAGUUUACCCAGUCGCUGUGCAAAAGACAUAUUGUUCUCUGCUGGGUUAGGGGAGAAACGUGUCACCUUUCGAUGUAUGUAAAAAGCAACUUAUUGGAAUGUUAGAGUUUUGUUUAAAAGUGAGGUUUUCUUGAACACAUUUGGAUUAUUAAUUCUUAUGUAUCGUCUGUACUGUUAAAGGGAUAGUUCAGCCAAAAAUGGUAAAUUCUGUUAUUUACUCGCCCUCAAAUUUUAAAAAAACUGUAUAAACUUCUUUGUUCUGCUAAACACAAAAAAAUAAUCCAAAUAAUGCAUGUCAGCAAACAGGUUUGGGGCACCAUUGACUUCCAUAGUACGACAAAAUACUAUGGAACUCAGUGGUGCCCCAAUACUGUUUGGUUUCAAAUAUUGUUCUAAAACAUUCCUGCUUUAAAAAUAGUAAGGUCUGUCAGUAGUCAUUUAACUAAAAUUUUAACAAAAGUUGUCCGGAGCUUUCAAAACUGUACUGAACUGAAAGUCAAAGAUAAGUGAUAACUGUCAGAUUUGUCCUAGUAUCUUACAUUUUAUCUUUUUGUUAUUAUUAUUCUUAAAGGAUGCCAUGCAGAUCCCCAAAAAUGUAAGGAUGUCAUCGUGGAGGCUUUUCCAAAACUCAGACAAGGUGGUGGGUUUGAGUUGCUGAAAAUAUCUGGAAACACAAGGAGCCAUUAUCUCAGCUUGAUACCCUGUCCAAAUGAAGGGUACCAUGUAAAGUAUUUGAAAGAUCCUCAAAAUCAAAUUGGUCAUGCAACCAUUUUCAUUCGUCCACUUCAACGAAACUUAGAAGUUGAAUCACCAAGUCUUCCUAGCAGAGAUGAGUUGAUUGGACCACCUCAAAAAUGUGUUGUAUGUGGAGAUGAAUUCCCCUUUGCAGCUAUAAAGUCUCACAGUGAUGAGUGCAUGAGAUUGGAAAUUUGAGCCAGAUGCAACAGAGGCCUCAAAGAAGUACAGAGAAAACCUAUUGAAUACCCAUGAAAGGGGAAAAGAGCUACUUUUCCAGAUGGACAUGAGAGACCGUCCUGAAGACAGGGAGAGAGCAAUCUUGACUUUCUACAAGAUGGCAAAUGUAGAAUGGGCUUGUCCUUUAAAAUGUACACUACAUGGUAGGUAAAGUAAAUCCUAUAAUGCAGGGGUGUCCAAUCCUGCUCCUGGAGGGCC
rnacentral:lncRNA from 1 species